AAAAACCUUACGUCUGCCUUGGAGAGCAAGAUCACCCGGUCCUCUGGGACGGCGUGGGUUCUCGUGCACGGCUCAGUGUUGCUUUGUUGAAACGUGCAUAAAAUGCAUUGAGUUCGUCUGGUAAAGAGGUAUCGUAAUAGGAUUCAACCUUGUUCCUUUAGAGGGCGUAAUUUACCUUUUCUCAUUUAAAUCAUAAGACCACAUAACCAAAUUAAUGUAUACACCUUUAUAUAAAAAUGAAAUUAUUCUAAAGGGCGCAAUAUGACCUAAUAAACAGAUAUUUGCAUAACCAAAGAAAGAUAGAAACUGUCUCUAACAGGGGAAGAAAGAGAAGAUGGAAUGUGCGCUGUUUGUUUGUUUGUUUGUUUGUUGUAAUUUACAACUUCAUAUAAAGCUUGAGAGUUAAACGGAACUGCUUCAGCAAAGACACAUGGGAAAGGAGAAGUGUGUUGGUCUGGAAAUAACAGCUGAAUAGAAAGCAUGAGAAUGAGAUUCAAAUGUAGGGUGUGUCAGUGGCCCAGUGCUACCAAAGAUUUUAAUCUGGGUAUGAUCUACUAUGAAACUGAACUGCUAUAGCAAAGGAAUCCAAGCUGGACAAUUACCUAACAGUUAGUCUCUCGUGUCAUGACAGACUUCUAGGUUCCCGAGAUGACAGACUUCUAGGUUCCCGAGAUGACAGACUUCUAGGUCCCGAGAUGACAGACUUCUAGGUUCCCGAGAUGACAGACUUCUAGGUUCCCGAGAUGACAG
rnacentral:lncRNA from 1 species